rnacentral:rRNA from 1 species
GACGAACCGUCCAAACGUUAUUCGGAAUCACUGGGCUUAAAGGGCGCGUGGGCGGCCGAGCGGGUCACGGGUGAAAUCCUCCAGCUUAACUGGAGAACUGCCCUUGAUACCACUGCGGCUCGAGGAAGGAAGGGGCAAUCGGAACUGUCGGUGGAGCGGUGAAAUGCGUUGAUAUCUAGGGGAACACCAAAAGCGAAGGCAAGUAACUGGGGCAUUCCUGACACUGAAACAUGAA